GCCUGCGGGGUGUAGUAGUCAGCACGCUCGACGCGUAUUCGAGAGGUCCGUGGUUCGAGUCCCGGCGAGGGCA
rnacentral:tRNA from 1 species